AAACCCCAAGUAAGUGUCGUGGGUUUUUCUCAAACCCAGUUAAAGUUAAAAUAAGUAGAUGCUAUUUUGAUUUUUUUCAUAUUCUGUCAACCUCCAUCUUUCUUUUUUUUUUCUGAUUUUUUUACCCUUAUUCAUAUUUUUUUUCUUCUCUUCGUUUUAAUGUCCACCUCUGUCCUCCACAAUUCUUCCAUUUUCACUUUUCAUCUAUCACUUAUAGACGUUGGCGAGCUUCAUCCAUCGACUGUAGAAACAAUUAGGGUUCAGCCACUAAUUCAUGAGCUCUGUCGUCGCCGUUGACCUUGCCUUGUCCAGGUUCGCUAUUCGCCUCCGUAACUGGCUAUUCCUCCUCUGCACAAACUUCACGAGCACCUCCUUGUUGUGGCUCACCACAAGUUCCCUAUUGUGUGCGUACCCUUGUUUGGGUCGUCUUCCGCCACCGGACGCUCACACACGUCAAGCCUUCAAUCUCGCUAUCUCACUGCUACCAGCAACGACGAAGUUUCUUCCGAUUCAUGUUACUCAUGUCACUCAUGUUACAACUAUUUCAGUAGGAACUCGUGCUUACAUAGAUCCUGACUACUAUAUAUCUGGAAGGUUUGGUUGCAGGCACAAAUAAUGAGACUCUUGCACAGUUUGCAAAUAUUAUGGUUAUGAUGCUCCAAUUGAUGAGUAUGGAACUAUUAGAUAGACCAAGUGGGGCCACCUUAAAGACUUGCAUAAAGCCAUUAAACUUUGUGAAGAAGCACUGGCAACUACUGAUCCAAAUAUUGCAUCUCUUGGACCAAACAUAGUGGUAAUAAAUGGUCCUUUAAAAUUUAGCUAACUUGUCCGAGUGUAAUAAAGGGACCAUACAUAGUGCAGUUUGUUCUAAAAAAACUUUGCUUAUGAAAUUGAUUAUUGAAUAAAUUCCUAUUUAGUC